GAGUUUGAUCCUGGCUCAGAACGAACGCUGGCGGCAGGCUUAACACAUGCAAGUCGAGCGCUCACUUUUGUGGGAGCGGCAGACGGGUGAGUAACGCGUGGGAAUCUACCCAUCUCUACGGAAUAACCUGAGGAAACUUGGACUAAUACCGUAUACGCCCUUUUGGGGAAAGAUUUAUCGGAGAAGGAUCGGCCCGCGUUGGAUUAGGUAGUUGGUGGGGUAAUGGCCUACCAAGCCGACGAUCCAUAGCUGGUUUGAGAGGAUGAUCAGCCACACUGGGAUUGAGACACGGCCCAGACUCCUACGGGAGGCAGCAGUGGGGAAUCUUAGACAAUGGGGGAAACCCUGAUCUAGCCAUGCCGCGUGAGCGAUGAAGGCCUUAGGGUUGUAAAGCUCUUUCAACUGGGAAGAUAAUGNCGGUGUGCAGGAAUUCGGGCUUGUGUUACCGCGC
rnacentral:rRNA from 1 species